rnacentral:misc_RNA from 1 species
CUUGUUAGGAAAUAUGAGAUAAAUAAAUGAAUAUAAAUAGACCCCUCAUAAUGUAUCCUACACAACUACUUCAUUUAUGGGGCCCUGUUUCCAAUAUGUACAUGCUUACUACGGAAUCUCUAUAUGUGCACUCUUACUAAUGAAUGGUAUGUCCUUUCUGUCUAUUAUCAUAUUGCAUGCUAGGUCGGUACUCUGGAUUCAGUGAUGCUACUUUCCCUUUUGUUUUGCUACAUAAUAUUACUUGUUAAUUGUGCAUGGAGUUAUCAAUUCAGCAAUUUAUAUGAGAUUCAAUGACCUUUUACUAUCAUUUCUGUUAUUUUCUUCCUGUUUGCAUAAUAUAUACUUUCUUUGCCAAAAAGAUCGUAAUCUUUUGGAAUUCUAUUAUCAACUCUUUUCAGGCCCUUGAUGCUGAAAGCAUGGAUAUGGAAAUUGAUUUAUCUAAUCUGGGUACUGUCAAU